UGGGCUUAUCAGCCCCACCCAGACCUGACAGAACCAGGCAGCAAGUUCAGUGGGAAGGAAGUACCACCAACCCUUCCUCAUUCUGCUUUUAAAUGUCACUGCUCCCACAGGUCCGCAGACACAGAACACCUUCCGGUCCAGUUGACCUCCUGACCCGAGGCACAUCUGUGUUUGUCCGGCGGUGACAUCUCUCAAACACUGCCCAUCAACAAGCUAAGGAGCACCUGAGUGCAGUGUGAGUGUUCACCCUGGUCCCCGGCGAUUGAAAAGACCAUUUCCUGGAAACGUGGGGGUUGGCCAUUUCAUCGCCGUGAAGUGUUCAGAGUGUGCGAGUCACGGUUGCCUAGUUACUGGUUUGUGUUUGGCAAUGGAAAGGCAGCUCAGUCCAGAGGUUUCUACAGCCAGUCCUUUUAGGUCAAGAGAACAAGACAACACACCCAUUCCUUUGUGGCCUAAGGAAAGGCAAGAUUGGAAGGUCAUUACAGGGCUCUUGCUCAUCCAAGGACAAUGGAAUUCUAGGAGUCAGGAAGUUACUUAUUCGUCAUCCCUUACUAGUGAGUUUCCCUCUUAGGAACUCAGUGCAUGCAACACACUCCCUAACAUCACUGAGUCAGGGACUCUGACCUCAUAACCAAACAAGGAUUUCUGUUUGUUUGUUUGUAAGAAGAUUGACUCAUUUGGUGGAAUAUAUUCCAGACCAGAAAACUAUUUCACUUUUUUUUUCUUAUAUCAAGAACUGUGGCUUGCAAAAUAAUCAGUUUCAGAAUUGAGAGAAUUCACCAUCAAAUACCAUUAAGAUGACACAGCUGGCUAGCGUCAUUUUACUAAUUCAUCUUCAAAUUCAGGACGGUGUAUGUACUUGGCUUCCUACAGAAGCUAAGAAUCCAAACCGACAGGACGCUAGCUGGGGACACAGCAGAGUUGUCUGCCCAGCACCCAAAGCCCUGGGAUGAAUCUUCCAUUCUCCCAUCCCCCAAACACUCUGAGCUAGAAGUCUAGACUCCGAGUAUAAGUCUCCAACAAUAUUAGCCUUUUUCUGUAAUUUUCUUUCUUCCUUUUUUUUUUAAAUUGAGAAUUUCACACAUAAAUACCAUGAGAUAUGAUCACUUCCAUUCUGUCACUAUUUUUUUUUGGAUUCCUCAUUUUCCUGGUUAUUUCUAUAUUAAAUAUUCAA